GGGAUUGUGGCUCAGUGGUAGAGCGCUCACCUCGAAUGUAUGAGACCGUGGGUUCAACUCUCAGCACCA
rnacentral:tRNA from 1 species